CAAUAGAAUGGGAGGCUUAAACAUUUGUCUCUCGAUGAUUGAAGCGGAGGAAUAUAAAAUGGUAGGCGAGAUAUCGUUUCAGUCGCCCAUUCCUCGAUUGGUGAUUCGAUUGUUGCUCGUCAACAU